AACGAACGCUGGCGGCAGGCCUAACACAUGCAAGUCGAACGAGAAGCUUUCCUUCGGGAAAGUGGAAAGUGGCAGACGGGUGAGUAACGCGUGGGAACGUGCCUCUCGGUUCGGAAUAACUCAGGGAAACUUGGGCUAAUACCGAAUACGCCCUUCGGGGGAAAGAUUUAUCGCCAUAGGAUGGGCCCGCGUCGGAUUAGCUUGUUGGUGAGGUAAUGGCUCACCAAGGCGACGAUCCGUAGCUGGUCUUAGUGGAUGAUCAGCCACACUGGGACUGAGACACGGCCCAGACUCCUACGGGAGGCAGCAGUGGGGAAUAUUGGACAAUGGGCGCAAGCCUGAUCCAGCCAUGCCGCGUGAGUGACGAAGGCCUUAGGGUUGUAAAGCUCUUUUGGCGGGGACGAUAAUGACGGUACCCGCAGAAUAAGCCCCGGCUAACUUCGUG
rnacentral:rRNA from 1 species